rnacentral:rRNA from 1 species
GGCGACCGGCGGAAGGGUGCGUAACGCGUGAGCAACUUGCCCGUCACUGGGGGAUAGGCACUGGAAACGGUGUGUAAUACCCCAUAACAUAUGGAUUCACAUGGAUUUAUAUUGAAAGAUUCGUUGGUGACGGAUGGGCUCGCGUAACAUUAGCUAGUCGGCGGGUAACGGCCCACCGAGGCUACGAUGUUUAGGGGUUCUGAGAGGAAGGUCCCCCCACACUGGAACUGAGACACGGUCCAGACUCCUACGGGAGGCAGCAGUGAGGAAUAUUGGUCAAUGGGCGGAAGCCUGAACCAGCCAUGCCGCGUGCAGGAAUAAGGCCCCUAUGGGUCGUAAACUGCUUUUCCUUGAGGGCAAUAAGGGUCACGUGUGGCCCGAUGAGAGUAUCAGGGGAAUAAGCAUCGGCUAACUCCGUGCC